UACGAAGGGGGCUAGCGUUGCUCGGAAUCACUGGGCGUAAAGCGCACGUAGGCGGAUUGUUAAGUCAGGGGUGAAAUCCUGGAGCUCAACGUCCAGAACUGCCUUUGAUACUGGCGAUCUCGAGUCCGGGAGAGGUGAGUGGCAACUGGCGAGUGUAGAGGUGAAAUUCGUAGAUAUUCGCAAGAACACCAGUGGCGAAGGCGGCUCACUGGCCCGGUACUGACCGCUGAGGUGCGGAAAGCGUGGGGGAGCAAACAGG
rnacentral:rRNA from 1 species